rnacentral:lncRNA from 1 species
ACUCCGUUGCGAAAAUGACGGGGUCGAUCCCGGCCCGGGCGGCCUUUUCUAGGGUAAGCCUGUCAUUGUGCAAUGAUACGGUUAUGAUCACCGCACGUGAGUGCAAACAUCCUGCGCGAUCGAGGCUUACAGCCGGCCUUUUUAUUUAUUUUAUUUUACUUUUACACACACACACGAUCUCACCUUAUGUUCAGAUCUAAUCUCCGGAGUACUUCGCCCAGUAGAUGC